rnacentral:tRNA from 1 species
GCUGGCGUAGCUCAGCGGUAGAGCAGCUGAUUUGUAAUCAGCAGGUUAGGGGUUCGAAUCCCCUCGCCAGCU